CCUUAACCUGUGGAAUCGUUAUGGCUUAUGUGUUUCUUCUUUUUUAAUAUAUCUUUGUUCCUUUAAUGUCCAAGUCCUUCUCUUCAAAGAGAAAAUCCUGAUCUUUAGAAUAGAUGAUCUAUUAAUUCCAUCUUAAAUAUAAAGGGUGAUUGCUGAAAUCGAAGGCCCUGCUAGUACUGUGCUUUAAGGCCACCCUAGAUGAAUCUUUGUAAAAGCUUGCUGGAGAUCUGGUACUGUUCUGAAACUAAGGCCACCCUUAAUGAAUCUUUGUAAAAGCUUGCUGGAGAUCUGGUGAGGCUCUUGCUAAGAUGUGGUAGCAGAUUUGAUCAUGCAUCAAGUGAUUCACUGUG